CCUUCUGGCAGGGUACUGUACUAAACUAACUAAAGUGGGGGAUAGUGAGGGGAUAAAUUUUCUUAAGGAACUCGGCAAAAUCCCAAUGGCCCACCAGGGCAUAUUGGAACACGGGCCUCGACUGUUUACCAAAAACAUAGCCCUCGGCUAAUAUGAAAAUAGAUGUAUAGAGGGUGAUGCCUGCCCAAUGGUUGUAUCUAAAAGCGGUUGAUAAAAGUUGACCUCGUAAGGACAAUUGAAUGGCCGCGGUAACACUGACCGUGAUAAUGUAGCGUAAUCAAUAGCCAAUUAAUUGUUGGCCAGUAUGAAUGGCGCCACGAAGGCCCCACUGUCUUAAGGAAAUUCCCAGUGAAAUUGAAUUCGUAGUGAAGAUGCUACGUCCAAUUUGUUAGACGAAAAGACCCCGUUGAGCUUUACUGGAGCACUUACAUGGCCCCGGCCUUCCCAUGCCUGGGAACCGGCCGAAUUUAAAUGGGCGGCUUAGAUUAUGUGGCAGCCCCCCGCUGGGGCAAAUGAAACACCACUCCCCCAUGUCAAAGGGGCUAACCCCCCCCCUUGGGGGGACAGUGUAAGUAGGACAGUUUGGUUGGGGCGACCACCUUUUAAAAAGUAACGAAGGUGCGCUUAAGGUGCGCAAUUAAUGACUGAAGCCUGACUGCAAGGGGGACACCCCGAGCAGACACCCCAAAGCCCGCCCGAAAGGCGGCGGUGAGGUGGGCCAUAGUGACCCGUUAAUUUAGAGUGGAAUAGUUAACGAUCAACGAAUAAAAGUUACCACGGGGAUAACAGCGUAAUAUCGUUAGAGAGUUCACAUCGACGACGAUGUUUGCGACCUCGAUGUUGAAUUGCGGCAUCCUGGG
rnacentral:rRNA from 1 species